GGACUACCCGGGUAUCUAAUCCGGUUUGCUCCCCACGCUUUCAUGCCUCAAUGUCAGGAACAGAAUAGUUGACUGCCUUCGCCUUUUUUGGUGUUCCUCUGUAGAUCAACGCAUUUCACCGCUCCACACAGAAUUCCAUCAACCUCUCCUGCCCUCUAGCAGAACAGUAUUACCAGCUUCCGUCAAAUUGAGUUUGACAUCGACCAAUAACUUAUCCUACCAUCUACGCAUCCUUUACGCCCAAUAAUUCCGGAUAACGUUCGCCACCUAUGUCUUACCGCGGCUGCUGGCAC
rnacentral:rRNA from 1 species